CUAAGUACCUGGCAAGGAAGAUGAGAUGCUAUGGUCACGAAGGUGGUUUUCCUAGGGAGAGGUUCAUCCAUCACAUUCCGGAUGUGCUGAUCGCUGUGAUUUCCCCAGGUGCAGGAAACUCCACUGCAUAAUUUAUGGCAGUGGUGGACUGCAUUCACACUUUCCCCAC